AGUGAACGCUGGCGGCGUGCUUAACACAUGCAAGUCGAACGAGAACGGAAUAUAGCUUGCUAUAUUUGUCAGCUAAGUGGCGCACGGGUGAGUAAUGUAUAGAUAACCUGCCCUUAAGAAAGGAAUAACAGUUGGAAACGUCUGCUAAUGCCCUAUAUGCCUUUAAUACAUAAGUAUGCAAGGGAAACGCUUUAGUGCUUAAGGAUGGGUCUGUAUGGUAUCAGCUUGUUGGUGAGGUAAUGGCUCACCAAGGCUAUGACGCCUAACUGGUUUGAGAGGAUGAUCAGUCAAACUGGAACUGAGACACGGUCCAGACUCCUACGGGAGGCAGCAGUGGGGAAUAUUGCACAAUGGACGAAAGUCUGAUGCAGCAACGCCGCGUGGAGGAUGACACAUUUCGGUGCGUAAACUCCUUUUAUAUAGGAAGAUAAUGACGGUACUAUAUGAAUAAGCACAGGCUAACUCCGUGCCAGCCGCCGCCGUAAGAC
rnacentral:rRNA from 1 species